rnacentral:ncRNA from 1 species
GAGAGCACAGUACGAUGAAAGUUGUAAGCUGUGUUCGAGGGGAGUUAUUGUCUAUCGUUGGCCUCUAUGGUAGAAUUAGUCGGGGGAUCUGAGAGGCGGUGGUUUAACCUGC